rnacentral:lncRNA from 1 species
UGAGAUCGCUUGUUCUCUAUGGUUGUGUGAUGAAGAGGAGAAAAUAUUGCUGGUUAUACAAGGUCAGUUAAUUAAUACAGUACUACUACCUCCAAUUUUUCUUUUGUGAAAAAAUAAAUAAAUGCUAGCUUUGUCUCAGGAGUGGUUAUUCUAUUGUUUGCUCCGCGAAGGGAAAAUAUUAUUGAGGACACGACAUGGAUGGGGUUAGGAUCUCUCCGUUGAAAUUCUCUCCAUUUAUUCAUAUCCAAAUUUAUAUAACAUUAUACAAUUAUACGAUUGUGUCAUUACUUUUCUUUUGAUCUUUAAAUCAAUAUGUUAAGAAAUCUUUUUUUUUUUCUUUUUGAGAAUGUUUCGACAUUUGAAUGGUGAAAUAUGGGUCAAAAUUUGCAAUGAUUAAUCAAACGCAAAACUCGGUCAAUUCAUAUGAAAUUUUGUGUAUAACUAACACAAGUAAUAAAAUAAAUUAUAAACUCGCUUUUCAAAAAUUAACAGCUAGAGUUGCUUUUCAAAAAUAGUUUUUAAAUUAAUUUUAUUAGGAUGUAAUGAAGAGAAUAUAUUGGAGAGGAGCCUAACCUCACUUGGAUGAACCCAAUGUUGUGUAUUGAUAUCAUCUUGUCCUCAGUUGGCUAUCAGAGGAGACUCCCUGGGGGCGCCGAAGAAAUAUAGGGCCUGUUUGGAACGUGAAUUUUUUGGGAGUUUAUCUAAAAUUUUAUUGUAGUACACUGUAGAAGUUUUUGAAAAAAUUUGUGUAGAAAUUUUUGUAAGAUGAAAAUUUUUUUUGUAGAAGUUUUUGUAAUGUGAAAAAUUU